rnacentral:sRNA from 1 species
CUGACUGGUAUAUCUGCACAGCAAAAUCGUGUGGUGGGAGCUAUGCAGCUAUAUUCUGUAGAUAGGAAAGUGUCUCAGCCCAUUGAAGGACAUGCAGCUAGCUUUGCACAGUUUAAGAUGGAAGGAAAUGCAGAAGAAUCAACGUUAUUUUGUUUUGCAGUUCGGGGCCAAGCUGGAGGGAAGGUAAGUUUUGGCUUUGGUAAUUAUUUUAAUGAGAACUUGUAUUUGGCUUUCUGCUAUGAAUUAGUCAUCUAAUUUCAAAAUAGCCUUCUCCUUUCCUAAGUAAUUUUAGUAUUCACAUUUGUGGUGACUUAAUUUGUUCAAAUUUUGCAUGUAGUGAUACUUGUCUAAAAUGAAUAAUGUUCUUUCACAACUCGUUCUGUUGAUUGUUUAUAUUCUUUACUUUGAUUGCUAAAGUGCACAUUCAUAUGCUGUACAUCUAGAGAGUUUGAUUUAGUAGGUGGUGCCCAUAAUUUUUUUUG